CAAGACGCAGGCGCAACCCACGGCUGCUGCAGGGAUCCUUGUGGCCCUUCCGGUCGGUGGAACCAAUCCGUGCACAGAGAAGCGGGGCGAACUGAGGCGAGUGAAGUGGACUCUGAGGGCUACCGCUACCGCCACUGCUGCGGCAGGGGCGUGGAGGGCAGAGGGCCGCGGAGGCCGCAGUUGCAAACAUGGCUCAGAGCAGAGACGGCGGAAACCCGUUCGCCGAGCCCAGCGAGCUUGACAACCCCUUUCAGGUGACUUGCGCCGGUCGGCCUCUUUUGGGCGGUCAGGUUGAUUCUUCCCGGUUCUGUAGGGUCGGGCUAACUUGUAUCCCCAUUUGUGACAUUUGAUCCUGGGAAGAGCCGCCACGUGGGGUGACAGUGACUCCAGACCAGACCCAGCUGUGAUCCAGCACCGACCCAGCCGGCAGUAUGCCACGCUUGACGUCUACAACCCUUUUGAGACCCGGGAGCCACCACCAGCCUAUGAGCCUCCAGCCCCUGCCCCAUUGCCUCCACCCUCAGCUCCCUCCUUGCAGCCCUCGAGAAAGCUCAGCCCCACAGAACCUAAGAACUAUGGCUCAUACAGCACUCAGGCCUCAGCUGCAGCAGCCACAGCUGAGCUGCUGAAGAAACAGGAGGAGCUCAACCGGAAGGCAGAGGAGUUGGACCGAAGGGAGCGAGAGCUGCAGCAUGCUGCCCUGGGGGGCACAGCUACUCGACAGAACAAUUGGCCCCCUCUACCUUCUUUUUGUCCAGUUCAGCCCUGCUUUUUCCAGGACAUCUCCAUGGAGAUCCCCCAAGAAUUUCAGAAGACUGUAUCCACCAUGUACUACCUCUGGAUGU
rnacentral:sRNA from 1 species